UUAAUAGAAGCCAAAAAGAGGCUAUUCACUGUUAAUGAAUCAAUUGAUUUUUCCUAUUAAA
rnacentral:tRNA from 3 species